AGAGUUUGAUCAUGGCUCAGGAUAAACGCUGGCGGCGCACAUAAGACAUGCAAGUCGAACGGACUUAAUCGAUUCUUUUAGAUUCGAAGAGGUUAGUGGCGGACUGGUGAGUAACACGUAAGCAACCUGCCUAUUAGAGGGGAAUAACAGUGAGAAAUCAUUGCUAAUACCGCAUAAGCUAGAGACACCGCAUGGAGUAGCUAGAAAAGGAGAAAUCCGCUAAUAGAUGGGCUUGCGUCCGAUUAGCCAGUUGGUGGGGUAACGGCCUACCAAAGCGACGAUCGGUAGCCGAGCUGAGAGGCUCAACGGCCACAUUGGGACUGAGAUACGGCCCAGACUCCUACGGGAGGCAGCAGUCGGGAAUAUUGCGCAAUGGAGGAAACUCUGAACCAGCAACGCCGCGUGAAUGAUGAAGGUCUUCGGAUUGUAAAGUUCUUUUCUGAGGGACGAAGAAAGUGACGGUACCUCAGGAAUAAGCCUCGGCUAACUACGUGCCAGCAGCCGCGGUAAUACGUAGGGAGCAAGCGUUGUCCGG
rnacentral:rRNA from 1 species